AGGAUUUUUGAGUAAUUUUGUAAAUGCUUUCUCAAAGCAAAUCACUGAAUUUUCCUAUAUUACAUAUAGGGGGAUGUUUUUCUCUUCCUUGCUGGUCUGUGAUCUGAGAACCAAGUAGCAUCUUGGAUAACUUGCACUCUCUUAAUGGCUGGUGUUGAAGAAACCCUUGGAGAACUGAACAAGGAGUCCUUUGUUUCCCUUCUGGGAAAGCUCAUCGGAGAGUCUAAACAUGUUCAAAACAACCCACCAGAUCUGAUCCCCGAGGAAGACAGGGUGGUGAAGCAUGUGCAGGAUUCCCUCCUUCCUUUGAGCACCACCACAGGAGGAGGUCCCUUGAUUGUGAAUCAUGUCAGUUAUUUCCCUGGCCGAGGCAAUCUUAUUGUGGAGUACCCAGGCACUGAACCUGGGAAGAUCUUGUCUUUCGUUGGAAUGCAUAUGGAUGUUGUCACCGCUAAUCCUAAUGACUGGGAGUUUGAUCCAUUCUCAUUACUUAUCAAUGGGGAUAAACUUUGUGGCCGUGGAACAACUGAUUGUUUGGGACAUGUUGCCCUUGUAACUGAACUCAUGAAGAGGUUGGCAGAGACAAAGCCAAAACUGAAAUCAACAGUUGUUGCAGUCUUCAUAGCUAAUGAAGAGAAUUCUGCCAUUACAGGAGUUGGUGUGGAUGCACUUGUGAAAGAUGGGCUGCUUAAUAAGCUAAAAGGAGGUCCUCUAUUCUGGAUUGACACAGCAGACAAACAACCUUGCAUUGGUACUGGUGGUAUGAUACCUUGGAAACUUCAUGUGACAGGGAAACUCUUUCACAGUGGAUUAUCACACAAGGCCAUAAAUCCUCUGGAGCUAGCCAUGGAAGCACUUAAAGUGAUACAAUCACGAUUUUAUAAGGACUUCCCCCCUCAUUUGAAAGAACAAGCCUAUGGAUUCGCAACGCCAUCAACAAUGAAACCAACUCAGUGGAGUUAUCCUGGUGGUGGGAUCAAUCAAAUUCCUGCUGAGUGUACAGUUUCAGGAGAUGUCAGGUUAACUCCCUUCUACAAUGUCACAGAUGUGAAAAAAAAGAUACAAGAAUAUGUGGAUGACAUAAAUGAGAACAUAGAGAAGCUAGAUACAAGAGGUCCAGUUUCUAAGUAUAUCCUACCUGAAGAAAACCUAAGAGGGAGGUAUGCUUUCUUUGUUGCUCUCUCACCUUAGAACACCCUUGUUCGAGAAACACAAAUAAUACACAAUUACCAUCUUUUCUUGAUUCCAUGUAAACAUAAUAAUCUAUAUUAAAGAAAUUAUGUUUAGUUGCUGAUCUAAAUUUCACUCUCUUUCUUAAAGUGGUUAUAUAAGGGUUCAUUUGUUCUUUGUUUAUAGCCUUACUUUGACCUUUGAUGAGGCGAUGUCUGGAGUUGCAUGUGAUCUGGAUUCUUGUGGCUUUCAUGUAUUGUGUAAGGCUACUGAAAAAGUAGUUGGGCAUGUAAAACCCUAUUCAAUCACUGGCAGUUUGCCACUGAUUCGAGAGUUGCAAGUGAGAAAUAACUCCUUUCUUAUUUUUACCUCUUAUAGUUUUUCUUUUUCAUCAUCGUCUUCUUCUUCGUUAAUAUAAUAUAUUUAUCUUUAUGUGUGUGCGCACACACUUGAACAUGUAUUCAAAUCCUUUGUGUUAAUGUUUCGUUUGGGUUUUGUAGGAUGAAGGUUUUGAUGUUCAAACUGCUGGCUACGGUUUAAUGGCCACAUAUCAUGCCAAGAAUGAGUAUUGCCUACUUUCCGAUAUGUGCCAAGGCUACCAAGUAUUUGUGAGCAUCAUCUCCCAGUUAGAAGAUUGAUCAGAAUUAAAUGGAUAUCUAGAUGUUAACACCAGAUUAGCGCUCAUAAAUGUGUUACUUAUAGACAAUUGAAAAAGAAACAAUGAUAUAAACGCCCAGAUGUAUAUCUGUCGUUGCCUUGCUAAGAAUUCGGCGCCAGGAAGUCAAUGAUUACCAUCUCCAGCUGUUUGGGGAUGCCCUGCCAUUUACAUAUGCAUGGUUAUCAAAAAUAAAGUCUUAAUCCCAAAUUAGUUGAGAUUGGUUGUAUG
rnacentral:misc_RNA from 1 species